rnacentral:lncRNA from 1 species
UCGCCGCCUUUGUCUCUUGUGUCUCUCUGCAUACCACCAUCAAAAAGUUCGAGAAGACUGCCAUUUUCAUUUCUAAGACCAGCACACACACCCCUCAAGUUGGAGGGGGAUGAAAGGACACCCAACUUGCCCAAAAGAUUGUGAUGAACCGGCCUUGUGAGAGACUUUGUGAACAGAUUUGUGAGCUGAGAAGAGGAGCGAACAUAUGAGAGGGAAAUCGGCCCGGCAAGGAACUGUUGUCUAAUGAAAUGACAGUCUUGUUCUAUAUGCUUCAUUCUUUCAUGAAAAAUAGUGGUUUUCACGAUAUGGAUUGCUGCCUGACUGUCUGAAUGAAGAAGAGAAAUUGGAAUAGAAAGAUCAUCAAACAGGCGUACCAACCAAGUGAGCUCAGCUACAACCCGUCACAUUGAGCGGUAUUCAACCUCUGCAAAGCAUAGAGACGAAUGCUUUUUGGAUUCCCACGAAAUUGGAGAUGAGCCAAGAGAAAUAUAUAAACCAUUGAUGGGUCAGUGCAAAUCUGGACAAGUGGCCCAGUCGGAAUCACAAAAUGCAAGGAGUUGAUAUGAAGGAGAUAAAGACAUGAAGAGGCCAAGUCCAUGAUCCUUUAAUAAGCAGCGGAGAACACAAAGUGCAUCAUUGAGAUGGGGUUGUCAAGAAUCCUGCAUAUACUGGCUAAGGUGUUGUACGAUGAAAGACAAAUCCGGCCUUGUAUGUGUUAAAUAGCUCAGCUUGCCCAACAAAUGACAAUACAAGAUCGGGUCUGAAAUGGGAGCACUAGUUUUAUCUAAGAGGCGAACAGAAGGAUCAAGAGGACAGGAAACAUGUGUCUUGUGGAGAGAAUCAAAUUCGUGAAGUAAAUCAAGGUUGAACUUCCUCUGAGAUAGAAUCAAACCAUAAGGCUCACGGAGAACUUCCAUGCUCAAAAAAUAAUGUAAGCUUUCAAGGUCCUUGAUUCUAAAUUCUUGAUGUAGAAAAUCCUUUAAUGCAGUCAAUUCCUUUGCAUCAUUACAUGUUGAUAGUAUGUCAUCGACAUACACUGCGAUAGUAGAGAUAUAAGAAUUUGUCUUUUAAAAAAUAUAAAGAAUAUUUAUUCAAUGAAUGUGUAUACCCCUUAAAAUUAAGAGUAGUAUUGAGCUUAGAGUACCAUUGCCUAGAAGUUUGAUGAAGACCAUAAAUGGACUUUUGUCAACUUACAAAUAUGGUUAGGAGAAGGUGGUGUAAAGCCAAUAUAGACUUCCUCGUUUAAAUCACCAUGUAAGAAUAUAUUGUUCACAUCCAAUUGACAAAGUCCCCAACUUUUCUUAACUGCUAUGGCUAGGAUGCAUCUGAUGGUGGUCAUCUUGACCAUCGGGGAAAAAGUUUCAUUGAAAUUUAUUCCCUCUUUCUGUAUAUAUCCUCUUAUCACCAACCUGAUCUUUAGCCUUUCUACACUACCAUCUGAAUGUUGCUUUACCUUGUAGACCCAUUUACAAGGUAGACCCUUUCUACCUAGGGGUAAUUCCAUGACCUCCCAAGUUCUGUUGAGCUCAAGAGCUGUAAUUUCCUAUUCCAUGGCUUCUUGUCAGCUUGGGUGAUGUGCAACCUGUGAAUAACUAAUAAGUUCAUGCAUAUUAGACAAAUAAUUUAACAUAUAUUGAUUAGCGAUGGGUAGGAUACUAAAAGACAAAGAUAUGGGAUAGACAGGUGCAAGAAAACUGGCAUUACUCACAUCUGAGAGUUGAAGAGCAUUACAAAUGUAAUCUUUAAGGUAUAUAGAAGGAUUGUGAGGUCUCGUAAACUUUCUAAUGAGGGUAUCCAGUAUAGGUGGAGAAACAGAAGAAGAGAGUGAGGGAAAAGGUACACUAGAAGUGGGCAAUGGACUGGUAGGAAAGAAAGUUACACUAGGGCAAGGAGUCUGUGGUGAGAUGAUAAAAGAGGGAGAAACAACAGUAGUAGAGGAAGGGGUAGGAUUGGAAUGUUGGUUGACUGGUGAACACAAAUGUGAUGAAGAAUCUGAGUUUAAGGGAAAGGAAUUAUGCAACAUAGCAGCAAACAAAUAGGAAGUCCCUCUACAAUCAUAUUUGAUAGAAGAAAAGGGAAAGAAUUCCUCAUGGAAUACUACAUCUCUAGAUAUGAAGACCUUUAGUGUCUUAAGAUCAACAACUUUAUAGACUUUUUUACCAUGUGGAUAACCUAAAAACACACAAGGAACAACUCGUGAGUCAAAUUUGGUUAUAUGUCUUGAAAUAAUAGAGGCAAAACAUAAACAUCCAAAGCAUUUUAAAGCAGAAUAAUUAGGUUUGGCUUGAAAGAGGACUUCAUAAGGAGUCUUGAAAUUUAACACUCUAGAAGGGAAUAUGUUGAUCAAGUAGGUGGAUGUGAGUAGACAUUCCCCCAGAAUGAUAUAGGCAAAUGAGAUUGAAACAGCAAGGCUCUAGAUGUCUCUAGCAAGUGUCAAUACCUUCUCUCUGCAACUCCAUUCUAUUGUGAAGUUGAGACACAACUGUUUUGAUGUAUAAUUCCAUGUGAUUGAAAGAAUUCUGUUUGAACAUUACCAGACCCUGAUUCAGAAGAAUUAUCUGAUCUUAUUGUCUUAACUUUUGUAUGAAAUUGCCUUUCUACCAUGGCCAAAUAAGAUUAUAUGACAAUGAAAGCAUUUGAUUUGGUAUUUAGUAAGUAAAUCCAUGUCUCUCUAUUGUAGUCAUCAACUAUGGUGAGGAAAUAUUUAUAACCAUCAUAGGUGGGAUCCUUGUAAGGUCCCCAAGUAUCCAACAUGGAUUAGUUCAAAAACCUUUUUAGUUGAUAUAGAUCCUGAAGGUAAAUGAAGCUUGGAUUGUCUAGCCAUAGGACAAAUAAGACAAGGAGUAGAAUAAUUGAAACACGAGGGAACAAAAAUAUCAAAAUAUUUCUUUAUAUUUCUCAAAGGCGUGUGGCCUAUCCUAUAAUGCCACAACUUUUCUUUUACAUUGGUACUAGACUAGGUACUAGACUUAGGGAAACAUUGAAAAACUGGAGCUGCUAGUCUUGACUUGAGGAUGUAUAUGCCUUAUUUCUCCUUACCAAUCUCCACAGGGCUCUUUAGUAAAGGGCCCUGCAGCAGAAAAUAAGAAUUAGGAGUGAAAAGAACAUAUUGUUGAAGUUGUCUGAAUAACUUAUGCACAUACAACAAAUUGAAUCUAAAGGAAGGCACAGACAGUACAUUGUGCAAAACUAGAUUUGGUAAUAAUGCAACAGAACCUGAAUGAGUAACUUUUACUCUAUGGGAAUUAGGCAAAUUGACCAUGACAAGUUUAGGAAAAGCUUUGUAGUUGAUAAAGAAGUUUUUGUUAAAAGUCAUAUACUCAGUUUCUCCACCAUCUAAUAUCCAUGAAUCACUAUCAAUUUCAAUAAAAUGGGCAAAAGAAUUGAAAAACUUGGCUAUACCAACACAACUCAAAUUUGCAGAAGCAUAAGAGGUUCUUGCACCCUGCUGGCCCAUGUUAACCUGUUGUAGAAACUGCAAUAGUUGUGUCACAUUUUUCUGAGUAAGUGAUUUCACUCCUAGUAUAUUAGCAUUUCCCUCGUUUCCCUUUUCAUUUGUGUUAAACACAUCAUUUGCUUGCACAUUGCCCUGAAAUUUCCUCUGCUUUGUGAAUUUAAAAUCUGGAGAAAAACCAUGAAUCCUAUAACACUUAUCAAUGCUAUGGCCAGGUUUCUUGCAGUAAGCACAAAUUCCUGCAUUCUUUUUGUUAUUAAAGUCAAAAUUAUAUUAAAUAAAAAUAUAUUUGUACAAUGCCAAGUAGUUGCUGACUAACUACUAUCCUAAAUAUAAGUCUAGUCCUAGAUUACACAUUUCAUCCAUGCCUACUACAAGUCCAGAAAUUGCUUAUAAAACUAGAAACAGAAGAUGUAUAGAUAAUUACAUACAAAAGAACUAAGCAAAUCUAUCUAAGAUGUGUAAUGCCACCUCGCCAUGUCUUCUUUACAGCCAUUCGACAUGCCUAGCUAAGCUCUUAUUCCUAGCCAGUUAUGUUCCUUUUCAUACCUAACAACACCAGUAGGUUGCUCCACACUCUUUUUGUUACUGAGCAUUCAAAGAAUAAAUGCUCAAGUGUUUCAGUAGUUGCUUUGCAAAAAGCACAAUCCUGUUCCUAUUUUAUAUAACAACUGAUUCCUGUACUCAACACUGCAGACUAACAAUUGAUUCUUGUUGUGAUCUUCUCAAUUAGAGGUAGGCAUUGAUGAGAGGUUAAUUUUUUAGAGGACAGUUGUACUCCUAAAUUCUAGCAUUCUUUCUAGGAUUAAAACCUCCCUUCUGUCCUUUGUUCUAAUUGAAUCUUCUUUCAUUUCCCUAUAGGUUUGUAUCAAGGAAGGAUCCAGAAUCUCCUUGAUAUGUAGGAGUAGCAUGGAUAACCCUUUGUUUCUCAUCCUGUAUCACAAGUGAAUAAAUAUGUCCAAUGGAAGGUAAGGGUGAAGACAAUAGUAUAUUACUCCUAACACCUAUGAAUGUUUCAUUUAAAUACAUCAGAAACUGUAGCAACCUUUCAUCUUGAUGUGCCUUGAAGUUCUUCACCUUGGCACCACAGUCACAUUCACAAACACAUACAGAAAAAGUAUUCAAAGUAUCAAGCUUAUCCCAUAGGCUUUUCAUCUUAGUAAAGUAGGUUGAUAUACUAGAAUUACUUUGCACCACAACACUAAGUUUCUUUUAUAACUGAAAUAGCGUUGCAUCAUAUGUUUGUCUUAAUCUGUCCUCUAAAUCACUCCAUAAGUCCUUCACACUUUGAGAGUAAAGCACACUCUCAGCUAUCUCCUUAGAUAGAGAAUUGAGUAGCCUACCAUGUCAUUAUACCUAGCCCGGGUCUUUUGAAGUCCAGAAUCAGCUUGUGGAAUAGUAAGAGUUCUAUCAAUGAGAACUAACUUAUUCUUUGUAGAUAAAGCAAUUAUUACAGCUCUUCUCCAUCCACUGUAGCUUCUUCCAUCAAAAACUAUGGAAACAAGAUUCAUCCCUGAAUAAUCCAAAGGAUGAAGAUAGUAAGGAUGUG